rnacentral:tRNA from 1 species
GGUGGUAUGGCCAAGUGGUAAGGCAGGAGCCUGCAAAGCUCCCAUUCCUGAGUUCGAAUCUCAGUGCCACCU